rnacentral:rRNA from 1 species
UUCCAGCUCCAGUAGCGUAUAUUAAAGUUGUUGCCGUUAAAAAGCUCGUAGUCGAACUUCGGCCUCUGCCACCCGGUCCGCCUAUUUGGGUGUGUACUGGAGUGGUGGAGGCUUACCUCGUGGUGAACGGCCAUGUCCUUUACUGGGUGUGGUCGGGAACCAUGACUUUUACUGUGAAAAAAUUAGAGUGUUCAAAGCAGGCUUACGCCCGAAUACAUUAGCAUGGAAUAAUAAAAUAGGACGUGCGGUCCUAUUUUGUUGGUUUCUAGGAUCGCCGUAAUGAUUAAUAGGGAUAGUUGGGGGCAUUCGUAUUCAAUUGUCAGAGGUGAAAUUCUUGGAUUCAUUGAAGACGAACUACUGCGAAAGCAUUUGCCAAGGAUGUUUUCAUCA